rnacentral:rRNA from 1 species
AUUGAACGCUGGCGGCAGGCCUAACACAUGCAAGUCGAGCGAGCGGAGGACGGGUGAGUACUGUCUGGGAAACUGUGCCAUGGAGGGGGAUCACUCCGGGAAACGGUAGCUAAACCCGCACACCCUCUGAUGUGCCCCGAUGUGAUUAGCUGGGGGGUGGGGUAACGGUUCACCUAGGCGACGAACCCUAGCUGGUCUCAGAGGAUGACCAGCCACACUGGAACUGAGACACGGCCCAGACUCCUACGGGAGGCAGCAGUGGGGAAUAUUGCACAAUGGGCGCAAGCCUGAUGCAGCCAUGCCGCGUGUGUGAAGAAGGCCUUCGGGUUGUAAAGCACUUUCAGCGGGGAGGCGUUACCCGCAGAAGAAGCACCGGCUAACUCCGUGCCAGCCGCCGCGGUAAUAC